AGGAUGGACCCAACCUCCAAACUUCAUUCAUAUGUUGAACCUGAAGACAGUUUACACACCAAGAGAAUCUGAUAGAACGUCCUCACAUGAAGGACUCCUGGUGAAAUCAGUUUGUGGAAACAGUGACAGAAAUUCCACUCCAGGCAGGAGCAUCCAAGAAUACAGAGCUCCCUCUCUUCCUUCUCAAGGGCUACAGUAUCUUCCCAGGAGGGGCAAUCUACCAGUACUUUUCAUCACUAUGGAGGAGGCUAAAUUCCAGGUGAACUCUCCCUACUAUCUCAGGACCUGGAGUACUCAGAUGGAUCUUUGCUGUUCGCCUGCUGAACCCUUUUUUUCUGAGGUCUCGCAAUAUAAAUGUGAGGGUACUAUACAAACGUGAUUGGGCGAGUACAUCAGAAAGAUUGAAUUGCAGCUGAAGGAAGAAUCACACACAUUCAGACUAAAUUUCCAUCUUGGAUCAAGGAUAGCAACACGUUGUAAGAGCUGAACAAGGAAAGAAGACAUGAGAGGAGGCUACAAAAGAAAGACACUACUGGGAUCACAGUGAAUCUGAGGUCACAAAACUCUACCCCAUGCUGCUUCCGGGCCUUGGAGCUCCAUGUUAUUUUUCCAGCACACCACCUUCCAUUUGUGAUGAAGAAUGCUACCCAUCAGUGUAAAGAAAAAAGGAGAUGAGGGAACCGCAUGGCCACCUAAUGAUGGGUCUAUUAUAAGUAAUGCUGCAAUGAACAUUGGAGUACAGAUACUUCUAUGAGACUGUGAUUUCUACCUCUUUGGAUACAUAUACUCAGAAGUAGGAUUGCUGGAUCAUAGGGUUAUUACAAGAUAUUGAGUAGAGUUCCAUGUGCUAUACAAGUUUGAGAAUGUUCAGCUCAACAUGUCUCCUACUUGCAGUGAGGAUUCCUGGAAUUUUCUCAACUCCAUGUUUUCAGGCUCAAGAUUUCUCCAGAGACCCAGCCAACUAGUGCUUUUUGACCUCUGGAAUCUAACCAGUUUGCCAUCAACGGGACUACUCAUGUUCUAAGUCAGUCUUAUUAAAGGAAUUUCAAAUAAUA